rnacentral:rRNA from 1 species
CAGUCGCCACGGUAACACAGAGGGUGCGAGCGUUAAUCGGAUUUACUGGGCGUAAAGCGUGCGUAGGCGGCUUCUUAAGUCGGAUGUGAAAUCCCUGAGCUUAACUUAGGAAUUGCAUUCGAUACUGGGAAGCUAGAGUAUGGGAGAGGAUGGUAGAAUUCCAGGUGUAGCGGUGAAAUGCGUAGAGAUCUGGAGGAAUACCGAUGGCGAAGGCAGCCAUCUGGCCUAAUACUGACGCUGAGGUACGAAAGCAUGGGGAGCAAACAGGAUUAGAUACCCCAGUAGUCCCUGUCUCUUAUAC